UGACACUCAGGGACGAAAGCUAGGGGAGCGAAUGGGAUUAGAUACCACAGUAGUCCUAGCUGUAAACGAUGGAUACUAGGUGUAGCUUGUAUCGACCCGAGCUGUGCCGAAGCUAACGCGUUAAGUAUCCCGCCUGGGGAGUACGCACGCAAGUGUGAAACUCAAAGGAGUUGACGGGGGCCCGCACAAGCGGUGGAGUAUGUGGUUUAAUUCGAUGCAACGCGAAGAACCUUACCAGGGCUUGACAUGUCCGGAAUCCCGGUGAAAGCUGGGAGUGCCUUCGGGAGCCGGAACACAGGUGGCGCAUGGCUGUCGUCAGCUCGUGUCGUGAGAUGUUGGGUUAAGUCCCGCAACGAGCGCAACCCUCGUCUUUAGUUGCCAGCAUUAAGUUGGGCACUCUAGAGAGACUGCCGGUGACAAACCGGAGGAAGGUGGGGAUGACGUCAAGUCAGCAUGCCCCUUACGCUCUGGGCGACACACGUACUACAAUGGUCGGGACAGAGGGCAGCUAACCUGCGAAGGCAAGCUAAUCCCAGAAACUCGGCCUCAGUUCAGAUCGCAGGCUGCAACUCGCCUGCGUGAAGGAGGAAUCGCUAGUAAUCGCCGGUCAGAAUACGGCGGUGAAUCCGUUCCCGGGCCUUGUACACACCGCCCGUCACACCAUGGAAGCUGGCCACGCCCGAAGUCGUUACCCUAACCUUUAGGGGAGGGGGACGCCGAAGG
rnacentral:rRNA from 1 species